AAUACAAAGAAACACUGGAAGUUUGUUUUACCCACAUGUGGACCGGGACGGCAACUAAAGGCCAGGGAGAAAAAAAGCGGAUUAAGGAUUUGAUUUUUAAUUGGAACUGCAUGAAGUUGCUCUGCAUGAAGACAACAGAUAAAAAGAAAUGGACUGGAUGUUUAGAGGAACUUUUUUUCACGAGGAUGCUGCACCAGCUGCCCCCCAAAAAGUUGCGGAGGUGAUUCCUUUGUUUGGACGAAGGGCUUUGUGAAGAGGACACAGUCAGGCACGACCUGAAAGUCUGUACAAGUGGAAUAAAAAGUAGAAAACAUUGUUUAAAAACUUGUUUUCAGUUGAAUCGGCUUGAGCUGAAGCUUUAUUUGAUUAGUAAAAUGCAUCGUAGCGUAUUAACGAUGUUUGAAGAUCUGCAACGCGGGUUUCUAUUAUAGUUUUGGAGGAUUUAAAGCUUCCAUAGACUGCCUAUGAAAUUCACCACGACCAGGAUCUUAUAGUUUACAUUUUUUCAGUAAGUUAGGAGCAACAGGUAGCCUACUUUUGGUUGAUUUGGCUGUUUUAGUUUGAUUGUCAGUUUAUCACACAAACAUCUGAAUAACCACUGACUCACGGCAAUGUUCCAGCGUUUGUUUGGAAAAAAACGCGGAUUUACAACCUAAUUAGGCGAAAGCAGAAUCUUUAUUUGCAAUACCAUCACAUGGAUAUACGGUGCGGUUGAGGGCAUGACUUUUUACUGUGUGAGUUCCAGACACAACAGAGGGACGGAGCUGCGGCCGAUCCGUCACAACUUCCUCUACAUUGUUUUACUCUGAGACUGGACACCUCCACUGACAGACGGAUGACUCUGUCUUCUGGGUCAUUGUAUCCAGAUCCUACCUGGAAUCCUUGGGCAGAAGGCCAGAAGACCCCCUGGAUGUAGCUUUAUUUGCCUUAAACACUGUUAAGCAUAACCUUCCACCAUCAUCAUCAUCAUCAUCAUCAUCAUCAUUUCUCCUGUCUGCUAACUAAACAAUGUAUUAUGUAUAUGUAUUAGAGCUUUCAACAUUAAAGCAUUAACACACUGAUUCAUUUUGAAUCACUAGCAUGUUAUUAUUUUUUUAAAUGUAAGUUUAUUGCGUCCAAGUUUGACACCAAAUCCCGUGGUAAUCUGCCCUGCCCAACACAUGGAUUUUCUUGUGGCUAAAUGACACAAAAAGACAGAGCAUUUAUUUGCAGAAAAUGAGAAAUGGUUAAAAUAACAAAAAAAGAUGCA
rnacentral:lncRNA from 1 species